rnacentral:rRNA from 1 species
CUUUACUGCAACCUGGAAUUGAAUUUGGGUUUUUUUUGUGCAGUAUAGGUGGGAGAUUAUAAUUUUAUUUAUAGUCGUUAGUGAGAUACCACCCUUAAAAAGCUAGAAUUCUAAGAGCGUUCCUUGAAACAGGACGCUUAACAGUUCUUGGUGGGCAGUUUGACUGGGGCGGUCAUCUCUUAAAAGGUAACAGAGAUGUGCAAAGGUUCCUUCAGGCUGGAUGGAAAUCAGUUGUAGAGUGUAAAGGCAUAAGGGAGCUUGACUGUAAGACUUACAAGUCAAACAGAGGCGAAAGCCGGCCUUAGUGAUCCGACGGUACCGUGUGGAAGGGCCGUCGCUAAACGGAUAAAAGUUA